UGGUGGAGUGAUUUGUCUGCUUAAUCGCGAUAACGAACGAGACCUCGGCCCUUAAAUAGCCCGGUCCGCAUUUGCGGGCCGCUGGCUUCUUAGGGGGACUAUCGGCUCAAGCCGAUGGAAGUGCGCGGCAAUAACA
rnacentral:rRNA from 1 species